AGAGAAAGAAAAACCUCAACAAAUUAAUAGCUGGAGAUUUCAACACUCUACUUUUAGCAUUAGACAGAUUAUCCAGACAGAAAAUCAACAAAGAAACAUCAUACUUAAUCUCACUAGAGACUAAAUGGAC